rnacentral:misc_RNA from 1 species
GGGAAAAAAUGAUAAUUAAAGAAAAAUAACUAAGUGAAAUUUUAUGUUUCACCGUAAAAAAAUAACGUCAAAUAUUAAAAUUUGAAGCUACAUAGUCUAACAAACCUCUAGAAAAAAAAAUUGACCAAAUCGGUAGAUUUAUAUUGAUUCACUUGAUUCACUAUUAAAUUAAAAGAUUCAGUUAAGAUUCAAGUACAUUUGAGAUCAAUCCUAUAUUCGAAUCACUGCAACAGAAACUGAAUCAAAUCAUAGGAUUCGGAUAGAGAAUCAUAUUCUAACAACAAUGCUUUGAUCUCUUAAAAGCUAGAAGAAGAUUACAAUAUAUACAAAAUAAGCCGUCAUGUGCCAUUCACAGAGUACACACACACACUAAGCACUAAGGCAAGACAAUAUUCUUGAAAGACGGAUAACUAAGGCAAAAUACACUCAUACUCACUAAAUAAAGGAAAAGAAAAAAUAGACUGACAUAAUCAAAUGAAACAAGAGCUUCACCACAAAUUUCUCAAAAAUACAGAAGUGACCCUGAAAAAACACAAAUAUUCAAUUUGUUGCUCUAUCAAAGAUUUUUAAUUUCUCAAAACCACUAGACUCCAAAAUAAAAGGGCACCAUCAUCGCUCAUAUUCAAAACAUAGAACCCCUGCAAACAUGUGCAAAAUAAAACACACCAACUCGAUUCAAAUUCCAUUU